rnacentral:tRNA from 1 species
CAGAAAAUAGUAUAAUUUAUUACGUAAGUUUUGGGGAUUUAGAAUGAGAAUAUCUUUUCUGA